rnacentral:rRNA from 1 species
UACGAAGGGUGCAAACGUUGCUCGGAAUUAUUGGGCGUAAAGCGCACGUAGGCGGCUUUGCAAGUCCCAUGUGAAAUCCCACGGCUCAACCGUGGAAGUGCAUGGGAAACUGCAGAGCUUGAGUACUUAAGAGGAUCGCGGAAUUCCCGGUGUAGAGGUGAAAUUCGUAGAUAUCGGGAGGAACACCAGUGGCGAAGGCGGCGAUCUGGGAAGAUACUGACGCUGAGGUGCGAAAGCGUGGGGAGCGAACAGG